GAUGAAGAACGUAGCGAAAUGCGAUAAGUAAUGCGAAUUGCAGAAUUCGGUGAGUCAUCGAAUCUUUGAACGCACAUUGCGCCCUCUGGUAUUCCGGAGGGCAUGCCUGUCUGAGCGUCAUUGUCAACCCUCAAGCUCAGCUUGCUGUUGGGUCCCCGUCGUUGCUUUAACGGCGGACCCGAAAGGUAAUGGCAGAGUCCGUGAGACCCUAGACGCAGCGAGCUUCUAGCACGCGUCUGGACGUUUUUCGGGCUCGGUCUUAACUAGAUGAUAACUUCCGAUUGACCUCAGAUCAGGUAGGGAUACCCGCUGAACUUAAGCAUAUCAAUAAGCGGAGGA
rnacentral:misc_RNA from 1 species